AUCUCUUGGAGCUAGACUUCUUCUUGAGGAGGAGUGCUGUUUAGCCAGAGAUUCCCUCCACCAGCUGGUCUUCAGAUCAGCAGCAGGCUCUGAACUGCUGUUGGGUUCCAGACCUUGCUGACCCACGUACCCCAUCUCUAUAAGAAUCUCAGCCCCGUCUUCGAAGUCUGCAAAGGACCAGCUGACUUCCCAGAGCUCCUCAGAAUGCCAGUGGGGUGAAACUUGAAGAAACUGUAGAAACUUUUCGUGAAGCUAUAACAGAUUAUGCUGAUAAAAAAAAAAAAAGUGUUUCUCAGGUGGAGUGUGAUGCACUUUUGGCAUUAUACAGCUUUCAAGCAGCCUAAUGUAAUGCCCCCUGUCUUUUAUUAUUUAUACAAGAGAUUUGUGUUUUUACCAUGCUGGAAAAGACCACUCUGUUACUCUGAAGUUCACGCAGGUCAGGAGAGAAUAUUGGAAACUGAACUUUUCAACCUGGUGGCCCCCGCUGGCAUGGCAGGCAGCGGUCUGACGGGAACACAAGUUCAGCAGUACAGAGUAAUAAUGAAAAAUGUAGCUCUGCAACUUUCUCUGUCAAUAACAAAGCUCAUCUUUUUGUGCCAGCAAGACAUUGCAUGCAGCACACAUUUCAAAUUCAGUUAAUCUCAAAAUAAUUCAAAAAUCAAAGAGCUUAUUCAACCAUCAAGACAUACCAGAUUGACUCACUGUGUAUUCAUGGAGGGGAUAGCAGAGAAAAAAGAAUUCAAUAUCAGAAUCAGUAAAAGCAGCGCUAGUUUUUUGUUCAGUCUAAAUUGUUUUUAGACCACACGAGCACGCUAUGAAUACUAAAAGAGGUACCAAAAGAAUAUUUUAUGAUUGCAUUGUUUGCAUUACUCAUCUAGGAAUAAAAUUCACAGAGGUGGCAGUGGUACAUGGGUGCACAUGCUCUUUCUGCCUCUCUUCAAGAACUCGCAUAUCUUGAACAUUGUUCCAGGGCUGUGAUCAAUGCACCUGCUGUCAUUAAAUGUUAGGUCACAGCACACCUAACAUUCAAAUCUGGUGGCAAAGAGCAUCUGCACAUACAACUGAUGGACGAACAGAUUCUGCCAUCGUAGUAGUAUAGUAUUGCCUUACAAAGUCUCAGUGUUUCCUGUUUUGAGCCUUGUAUGGAGACUGAUGCAGUCAUCAUUAAAAACGGAGUUGCUGCCACCAAAUUCGUAUGUAUUUAUGAGAGGGUAUCUGCUGGAGUUCACUCACUAUAGCAGGUGAAGGUACCUGUUUCUCACUAAGCAGAAAGUAUAUGUUUACUUGUAAGCAGGUGAGGAUGCAGGACUGCCCCUUGGCUGGAUUAGUGAUACUGAUAUUGCUCAGUGCCAUGCUGCAAGAGUCAGCACUUGGCUUUCCAUGUGGCUUGAGUCCCUGAGACUGGGACCAAGCACUGUGAGAACUGAAUGGGGAAGAAGUGGAGGAGCCUGUCCUUGCAGCUGAGUGGAGCCUGCGGGAUACCCCUGGUCAUGCCACUUGCCUAAUGCGCAUAUUAGGCUGAGCUGCUGAAGGAUAUUUAAAUCAAGCUUCCUCUUGCCGUUCCACCACAUGCUUCCUCUAAGCAAGAGUAGAUUAUUUGGCAAUAAACUGCUCUCAUCUCUUAAGCU
ensembl:lncRNA